UACGUAGGCUGCGAGCGUUGUUCGGAAUUAUUGGGCGUAAAGAGUGCGUAGGCGGUGCUCUAAGUUCGGUGUGAAAUCUCCUGGCUUAACUGGGAGGGUGCGCCGGAAACUGGAGUGCUUGAGCGUGGGAGAGGAAAGCGGAAUUCCUGGUGUAGCGGUGAAAUGCGUAGAUAUCAGGAGGAACACCUGUGGUGUAGACGGCUUUCUGGACCAUUGCUGACGCUGAGACACGAAAGCGUGGGUAGCAAACAGG
rnacentral:rRNA from 1 species